GAAAACUGGAGGAGACCAAGACUGCAUCAGAAGGGUUUGCGAAAGUGAAAGAGUCUCUUCAGGCCACAGUUCUACUUAAAGAGAAUGAAUGUGCAAGACUGAAAAGGGAGCUAGAAAAGACAAAGAAAGCUUCAGAAGCAUGUGCCAAAGAAACGAAGUCUCUACAGACCACAGUUCAACAUGAAAAAGAAACGAAUGCAAGCCUUAAAAGGGAACUGGACGAGACAAAGAAGGCAUCAGAGGGAUUCAGAAAACUAAAAGAGUCGCUCCAGGCUGAAGUUCACCGUGAACAAGCUGAAAAUGCAAGACUGAGAAAGGUGUUGGAGGAGACAAAGGUGGCAUCAGACGGAUUGAAGGACGCAAAUGAGUCUCUUCAAGCUUCAGUUCAUCGUGAACAGGAGGAAAAUUCAAAGCUGAAGAUGUAUGUGUA